UGAGGUUUGAAAUACGGCUGCUACAGGACCGCGUUGGAUGUCUGGUCGAUGCAGAAAUGAGUGGUGACGGCAUUAAGUUGUUUGUGGGGAACCUUCCUUUAGAUGCAACUCACGACGAGAUCACUAAGCUCUUUGCGCCAUAUGGAGAGAUCAACACCUGCUCAUUGCUCAGGCAGUAUGCCUUUGUCACCCUUAAGGGAGAAGGGGCAGCAGACAGGGCCAUACGGCAUCUUGAUGGGAAAGAGUACAGAGGCAGGCCCCUUGUGGUAGAAGAAUCCCGCGCACGCCCACCCAACUCAACCAAAGUGUUUGUGGGCAACAUCAGUGCGACAUGUUCAGCAGAUGACUUGCACGGGCUUUUCUCAACCUUCGGAAGAGUUUUAGACUGUGAUAAAGUCAAAGCCAGAUUAUGCUCAAAUGUAGGCUAUGCCUUUGUGCAUAUGGAGAGGAAGGAGGAAGCUGUAGUUGCCAUUGAGGCACUUAACGGGACCAUGUUCAAAGGGCGUCAGUUGGCUGUAGAACUGUCCAAAGCUCAGCCGUUGGUCAACCAGUUUGGAUCAGCAGGAAAUGCAGGUGGCAGAGAGGGUCUUCUGCCUCGACCACCUCCAUCGUUAGAGCAUCAUCAGAGUCAAGCAGCUGUUUUAGCAGCUGCGGCUGCAGCAGCCGCUGGGCUGCCCAUACAAGUUCAACAAAGUGUCCACAACUCAUUUUACAACACCACAGCCACUGACCCCACCUACGCCGCUCUGAAGGGCAUUACAAGUGCGAGAGGUGCCGAUGGCGUGAUAUAUGGUGCUCUUGCCAGCCAGGUGUACGGAUCUGUUGCUGACCAGGUGUACAGUGAUCUGGCCAAUCACACUCCCGCACCCGCAGUUGAAGAAGUCGAGCCACCGUCUGGACCAGAUCCAACCACACUUUUCGAGGCUGCAAGAGCCAAGUUCUUUCAGGAAGGACAGAAGGUUCUGGCAGAGCAGCAGGUAGGGAGAAAGGGAGCUGCAUCUUCAGAGAGUGAGCGGGACCGCAGCCCAAUUAGAGGAAAUCGAGCCCCCCUCCUCCCAGACCCCGUUCCGGGUUCCUUCGCUCAGGUGCGAUCCAAACGACGUGCCCUGCUGCCGACACCGCCCGGAGUCACAGAAGAAGCAGCCCCGGCUGCCACCACAACACCUGAAGGGUCAGAUCCUGUUGCUAGGUCUUACACAGAGUACUACCAGCAAAUGCACCAAUACCAACAAUAUCAGCAGUACCAACAACAGUACCAGUACCUCCAGUAUGCCUACACCAAUCCUCCUCCCCCACCUCCGCCUCCACCAGCCACCACACAGGCUCAGGCCUCCACCACAGCCCCUCCACCCCCAGGGACAUACACCGCACCCACAACAUAUGCUGCAUCGGAAGCCUACCCACCACCAGGAACAUACAGCACUUCAGGAAGUUACAAUGCCUCCACGGGGAGCUACGACGCCUCAUCGGGAAGCUACGACAGCUCGGCAGGCUAUGACGCAUCCGGAGGCUACGGAGCAUAUGAUUCAUCUGGAGCUUACGCAGCAGCAGCGGGAAGCUACUCCACAUCCACACCGUAUGAGCAGACACCCGCACACGGGCAACCCAUGCCCCAGCGCCAUGAUUACCCUUACCACACGCCAGAACCCCCUUAUCGAUAGUCCCAUCCCCCCGCACACUCUUUCCACACUGCAGAUCUGUGAGCGUGUGUGACAUGUGUGCGUGCACAUGUGAGUGUGAGUGUGUGCAUGUGUACUUACAUAAGGGACAGUUAAAACAGAAAAAUCAGAGAGGGAGCGAGGUUGUAAUUUGACUGAAGCAUCUCCUCUGUUGUACAUUUUAACCUCGACUGUAACUACUCAGCUUGUCAGUUAAUGGCAGUUAAGUGGAGGAUGAAGUGGAUACAGGUGCAGAUGAGCGGGGAAGCUAAUACAACAUCAUCCAGAGUUCCGUUUCCUUUUUUUUUGUAAGGCAUUGUAGAGGCAGAGCUGGUUGAGGCGUUUAUUUGGUUAAGUUAAACUUUGGUUUGGAACCUGUUUCUUGGAUCGAGGCCUCUUACAUACUCUACAUAAAAACCUGCACAAACUUGUUUCUGUUUUUAACUUCAACCAACGUUAUCACAUAUUUUAGGUCACAAAAACUACCUGUACUGUACUUCUCAAUAAUUAAACAAAUAUUUGGUGAAACUGAAAAAUUCUUGUCUUGGAGAAAUUCAGAUCUGUACAGGACCAUACGCUUUGAUGAAGAUAAUUCAAAAUAUAGAUAUAUUUGUGGCCCCACACCCCAUUUGUGGAGUAUGUAACAUGCCUUCAUUUGGAUUUGACAGUGUAGCCAGUCCGUUUGUCCUGACAUUAACAGAUUCUAUUGUGUUCAUACCUUUCCCUGGUAAUUACAGAGAAAGGUUUAGUUAAUCUGAUUAUCAUUUAUGUAUAUUUUCAGGCUGGUUUCACCGACAGUUUCUUUUUUUUUUCAAGCUACUGAAGCAAUUUACAGCAUUGCAUUUUUUUCGUCCUUUCAACUUUUAAAUUGUGGAUAGUUUUGGUUUGACAAAUCAAAGUCAGUGGGUUGAAGUUGUACGUCAGUCAGAUUGUGUUGCAGCCCUCUUUGCUGUAUUAUGAAGUGAUGUUGUGGUCGUCCGCUGAUGGGGAAGUUUUUCUUGAGCCCGUCUGUUUUUUUGCGGUGUCAGAAUCCUGAGUUAGUUCAACUUGAAACAGAUUACAAGUCUUUUGAGUGUGCGUGGUUGAAUUUUCAUCGUAAGGAGCGACAACCAGGAACCAUGGACAUAAUAUGAAAACAUGGUUGACAUGUUCUAGUUUUUCCUCGCAUAGUUCAAUCGGACAUAGCACUCUGAGCUGUCAAAUACAGUAUAUCAUAUCAGAGGUUUUGGUUAGAGGUCAGCGUAAAACAAGACAUUUUUAAGAUAUUUCGUCAUAGUCGUUAACAUUUCUUAAUUAUUUAGGAUUUGUCUUGAAUCACUGUCGGAGCAUCUUGACAGAGUGCAACAACAUAACCCCGUCUGAAUAUGUUUUUGUGUUUGAAUGUAUAAAAGCCAUAAGAAUGGCACCAAAUAUUGUUUGAUGAUUUAGGAAUCAUAGCUUUAAUUGAUCCUGAAAUUUCCAUUCGUUCCUGUAGUGGUUUUGUUCUGCGCUCAUCACAUGCUCACAUUGGUAACCAGUGGUGAUUUUACAGGGCAAGUUCAACGAGUUAUCAUACCAGAAACUUUACUACUGGAAUAAAUAUUGUAAUCUGACAAUUUCAACCAGCAUUUGCUAAGAAUCUAUACUAUUCUUGUUAAAAUGAAUGUAUUUAUUCCCGAACAGCUGAAGAUGAUGAGGAGAUGAGAUGAAGUAGGACUGUUGAGUUUUGUCGCACCAGGCAAGGCUGUUUUGUAUGUCUGAAAACGAUUAUUGUCAUGCUUGAGGCGCGUAGUGGGUGGCAGGAAGCCACUCUGGCAUACAUGUGAAUGAACCUCAAUCAGAUGUUGCAUCCAAAUUGAAGUGCACAUUAUGGAAAUUGUCGAAGAAAGGGGAGAAAUGAUUUGAGCUCAAAGUGGGUAUGAGUUUGUCAGUGUGGUGCACUGGUGUGUUGCUAAUACUUGAAGUUUAGCCCUCUUCGUUGAUUGGAUACGGUAUGACAGUUCCGGUGCUUCAGGUGAACAAGAAGGUUAUUUUGAACUUAGUAACAGCAGACUUUCUCGAACAGCAGUGAGAAGUGCUGGUGACCUUUCCUUUACCCUCUUCUGAUCUCAACACACACAACCACACAGCCAGGAUCACUGCCUUUCUCUUAUUUCAUAUCACACCGACAGAGGUGUUUGACUCCACGCAUAUUUGACUUGGGUUCAUUUAUCCAUUUAACACGCAUCACACGUGCAAAUGCUACUAAUGCACACCUGACUCCACCUUAAAUUUACAUUCAUGGCUGUACCACACACACUAGUUACUCAUCCUAUUUCAUAUUCGCCACUUGAGUUGGUUGUGCUACGCUAGGUUUAAGUGACAGAUAAGCCUCUCCACAUUUCCACAUUAUUCCACCUUCUCCUUGUGAACUGUUAGUUGCAUGCCUUGUUGUUGCUGCUGCUCCAGCCACCUUCUUCCUCUUGCUGAUUAUUGCAGCUAGAGUGGGAGGGAGCCAAACUGAGCCCUUGCCCUGGACGUACGCCACACGCAGCUGUAGCGUGGGAUGGGGAUAACAGCAGCCUUAGGCCUGAAACUGCUGUGGACGAUGGGGUGUCCCCCCACUAAGGCAUGUUAUUAAUGAAAGUGAGUGUCCGGGUCCCAGCAUGAUUGAUGGAUACAGUGGCGUGCUUGUUAAAGUCGUUGAUAACAACUGCUGAGGCAGAGAAGGAGACAAAAAGCAGAGGAGUUAAGGAGAGUGAGGAAGAGAGGAGGAGGACGGGGCAGCUGCAGUGUGGGCAGGUCUGUAGGGUGAGUAGGGAACGGGAGCAUUUAGAAUGAAGCAUUAUGGGAUUGACUGGACGGAGUUUAAAUACUGGUGGACUGACUGGUUGAUUGACUGAUUGAGAUGAGAUGUAGACUGACCUGUGUGAGAUCGGGGCUGUCGCCCUGAUCUAUCCCAACUCGCUGUGUCACAAAAAAGGAGGAGGAGGAGGAGGAGGAAGGGGGGUGGGGAAGGGAGGAGGGGAGGCAAAAUGAAAAUAAACCCAAUGUAAUAACAAAAAUGAGGAGUAAAACAAACAAACGAACAAAAAAAAUUCCCAACAGAUCACAGAGUAAAAAAAGGGAAGAGGCAUGUGAAAGAGGAAGAGGAGGAGGAGGAGGAGGGAGAAAGAAGAAUCAAACCCAAGCAUUCAUUACUUCAUGCAGUGGCUGGAAAGGAAAACAAAUAAAAGACAACAGAGGAGGAAGGGGAGGAGGGCACAUGCACACGCGUACAAACACCGAUAGAUACAGUACACGCACACACACACACACACACACAAAUAUAAACACGCACACACACUUAGAUCUGGAAAUGAAUGCAGAGCACACCGACUGAUUCAACAGGCAGGGCAGAGAGGGCAGACAACAGGUCACGUGACUGUGUGAGGUCAGAAACAUCCAAAAAAAGGGAGACACUCAACUAAUGUUGACUUUGAACAGAAGGAAAAAGGAAGGGACAACAGAUGACACACAAACAGACAAACAAACACACAUUUUGUUAGACAGGUAAAAUGAAUGGGUCCUUAAAGUCAACGUUAGUCUGUUGUUGUUGUUGUUGUCGUUUUUUUUUGUUUUUUUUUUUCUCUUUGGAUCAAGCGGCUGCACCCCAAACCUUAUUCCAAAUGGGAACGAAACCAAGCAGUGUGAAAGCCUUUUUGAAGAUGGCGCACGGGAUAAUGCUAUACGCAGUGGACAAAACUGUGAAGCCUACAGCAAGGACUGCAACUGUGAAUAACAGCCACGGUAAAGAAAAGUGUACAGUAUGUUUAUUAUUUGGAAAAGGAAAGGGAGGAGAUAAAAUAAGAAGAAGAGGAGACAGAGAUAGAGAUAGAGAGAGCUUGCUUGGGCAUGCAGUGCAGGCAUGUAAACAGGCAGCACGCGAGGGGUCCCUCAGCUGGAAGCUCUACACAUGUGUGGCUCUCUGAAAACUCAGCCAUUAAUCACUGUCUUGGAGUUAACACCUUCCCCCACGACAGCGCAAGAGAAGGACAGGAACAGGAGAAAA